rnacentral:rRNA from 1 species
AUUGAACGCUGGCGGCAUGCUUUACACAUGCAAGUCGAACGGCAGCAUGGGUGCUUGCACCUGAUGGCGAGUGGCGAACGGGUGAGUAAUACAUCGGAACGUACCAAGUAAUGGGGGAUAACUACUCGAAAGAGUGGCUAAUACCGCAUACGCCCUAAGGGGGAAAGCAGGGGAUCUUCGGACCUUGCGUUAUUUGAGCGGCCGAUGUCUGAUUAGCUAGUUGGUGGGGUAAGAGCCUACCAAGGCGACGAUCAGUAGCGGGUCUGAGAGGAUGAUCCGCCACACUGGGACUGAGACACGGCCCAGACUCCUACGGGAGGCAGCAGUGGGGAAUUUUGGACAAUGGGCGAAAGCCUGAUCCAGCCAUGCCGCGUGUAUGAAGAAGGCCUUCGGGUUGUAAAGUACUUUUGUUAGGGAAGAAAAGCUUAUUGCUAAUAUCAGUGAGCCAUGACGGUACCUAAAGAAUAAGCACCGGCUAACUACGUG